rnacentral:rRNA from 1 species
UACGGGGGGGGUAAGCGUUGUUCGGAAUUACUGGGCGUAAAGGGCGCGUAGGCGGGAUGGCAAGUCGGUCGUGAAAUCCCUCGGCUCAACUGAGGAUCGUCGAUCGAUACUGCCGUUCUUGAGGAUUGCAGAGGAGACUGGAAUUCCCGGUGUAGCGGUGAAAUGUGUAGAGAUCGGGAGGAACACCGGUGGCGAAGGCGGGUCUCUGGGCAAUUCCUGACGCUGAGGCGCGAAAGCGUGGGGAGCAAACGGG